GCAAGGAAUAGUAGGCAAUGGGGGAAACCCUGACCUCGCGACGCCGCGUGAGGGAUGAAGGCUUUCGGGUUGUAAACCUCUUUUCUCAGGGAUGAAUAAUGACAGUACCUGAGGAAUAAGUCACGGCUAACUACGUGCCAGCAGCCGCGGUAAAACGUAGGUGGCGAACGUUAUCCGGAUUCACUGGGCGUAAAGAGUGCGUAGGCGGCCUUAUAAGUCGGAUGUAAAAUUUCUCGGCUCAACCGGGAGGGACCAUCCGAUACUGUCUGGCUAGAGUGCAUCAGAGGAGAGUGGAAUUCCCGGUGUAGUGGUGGAAUGCGUAGAUAUCGGGAGGAACACCAGUGGCGAAAGCGGCUCUCUGGGAUGUUACUGACGCUGUUGCACGAAAGCGUGGGGAGCAAACAGGAUUAGAUACCCGAGUAGUCC
rnacentral:rRNA from 1 species